UACGGAGGAUGCGAGCGUUAUCCGGAUUUAUUGGGUUUAAAGGGAGCGUAGACGGUUAAGUAAGUCUGGAGUGAAAGCCCGGGGCCCAACCCCGGGACUGCUUUGGAAACUGUGUAACUUGAGUACAGGAGGGGCAGGCGGAAUUCCUGGUGUAGCGGUGAAAUGCGUAGAUAUUAGGAGGAACACCAGUGGCGAAGGCGGCCUGCUGGACGAUGACUGACGUUGAGGCUCGAAAGCGUGGGGAGCAAACAGG
rnacentral:rRNA from 1 species